CUCCGGGGGUAGCGGUGAAAUGCUAUAAUCCCUGGGGGACCGCCAGUGGCGAAAGCGCUCGGCGAGGCCGAACCCGACGGUGAGGGACGAAAGCCAGAGGAGCGAACCGGAUUAGAUACCCGGGUAGUUCCGGCCGCAAAGAAUGUGGGCUAGGUGCUUGGUGUUCCUCGAGAACGCUAGGUGCCGAAGGGAAGCCGUUAAGCCCACCGCCUGGGAAUUACGGCCGCAAGGCUGAAACUUAAAGAAAUUGGCGGGGGAGCACCACAAGGGGUGGAGCCUGCGGUUUAAUUGGAUUCAACGCCGGACACCUCACCGGGGGCGACGGCAGAGUGAAGGUCAAGUUGACGACCUUGCCGGACUCGCCGAGAGGUGGUGCAUGGCCGCCGUCAGCUCGUAUCGUGAGACGUCCUGUUAAGUCAGGCAACGAGCGAGACCCUCCCCUCUAGUUGCCAGCGGAUUCCAUUGGAAUGCCGGGCACUCUAGAGGCACCGCUGCCGAUAAGGCAGAGGAAGGAGAGGGCGACGGUAGGUCCGUAUGCCCCGAAUCCCCCGGGCAACACGCGGGCUACAAUGCGUAGGACAGAGAGAUGCGACCCCGAGAGGGGGAGCCAAUCCCUAAACCUGCGCCUAGUUCGGAUCGAGGGCUGCAACUCGCCCUCGUGAAGCUGGAAUCCCUAGUAACUGUGUGUCACUAUCGCGCGGUG
rnacentral:rRNA from 1 species